AUGACAUAAUCAUAAAUUGCUAAUUUUAGCUGAAAAAUAUCCAAGUAAAAAGUAUAUAAAAGGAAAUCAUUAAUUACUCUAAAUAGCAAGAAAGUAAAGAACCAAUCACUAGCAAUAAACACAAAAUCUAAAAAGCUGCAUACCUUCUUAACACCAAACACAAAAAGCCCUUAAAUCCUCAGCGGAAUUUCGUCGAACACUUGGUAGGCAUUAGCAUAAGCAACCUUCACCUCCACCAAAUUCCCAAUUUUCCCACAAACCCACUUCAAAUAAACUCAAAAUCUUCUAGUAACCAUAACAAAUUAACCAUUUUUCCUACAGUUCAAGGUUAAAAUACCCAAAAAAGAACCCAAUUGAACUGGAUCACUAAGAACCCUAAUAUCAUAUCAUUGUGGAAACCAAUUGAUAGAAUCUUGUGGGCAGAUCUGAUCUUAUAAUUUAACGUAUUAUUAGUUGUGUUUGGAUCUGGAAGAAAUGUUUAACACGCGCAUAAAAGAGUGCGAUUCGUUAUGUUGUCGCGUUCAGACACCUGAGUGUGUAAUAGAGGGG
rnacentral:lncRNA from 1 species